rnacentral:rRNA from 1 species
UACGGAAGGUCCAAGCGUUAAUCGGAAUUACUGGGCGUAAAGCGCGCGUAGGUGGUUUAUUAAGUUGGGUGUGAAAGCCCCGGGCUCAACCUGGGAACUGCAUCCAAAACUGAUUCACUAGAGUACGAAAGAGGGAGGUAGAAUUCACAGUGUAGCGGUGGAAUGCGUAGAUAUUGUGAAGAAUACCAAUGGCGAAGGCAGCCUCCUGGUUCUGUACUGACACUGAGGUGCGAAAGCGUGGGUAGCGAACAGGAUUAGAUACCCUGGUAGUCCACGCCGUAAACGAUGACAACCAGCUGUUGGGAAGCAAUGCUUUUCAGUGGCGCAGCUAACGUCUUAAGUUGUCCGCCUGGGGAGUACGGCCGCAAGGUUAAAACUCAAAUGAAUUGACGGGGACCCGCACAAGCGGUGGAGCAUGUGGUUUAAUUCGAUGCAACGCGAAAAACCUUACCUACUCUUGACAUCCUUGGAAUCUCUUGUAAUGAGAGAGUGCCUUUUGGAACCAAGUGACAGGUGCUGCAUGGCUGUCGUCAGCUCGUGUCGUGAGAUGUUCCGUUAAGUCGGAUAACGAGCGCAACCCUUACCCUUAUUUGCCAGCGGUUCGGCCGGGAACUAUAAGGGGACUGCCGGUGAUAAACCGGAGGAAGGUGAGGACGACGUCAAGUCAUCAUGGCCCUUACGAGUAGGGCUACACACGUGCUACAAUGGGAAGUACAGAGGGACGCCAAAGCGUGAGCUGGAGCUAAUCUCAUAAAACUUUUCGUAGUCCGGAUUGCAGUCUGCAACUCGACUGCAUGAAGUCGGAAUCGCUAGUAAUCGCGGAUCAGCACGCCGCGGUGAAUACGUUCUCGGGUCU